AUUGAACGCUGGCGGCAUGCUUUACACAUGCAAGUCGAACGGUAACAGGCCGCAAGGUGCUGACGAGUGGCGAACGGGUGAGUAAUGCAUCGGAACGUGCCCAGUCGUGGGGGAUAACUGCUCGAAAGAGCAGCUAAUACCGCAUACGAUCUAUGGAUGAAAGCGGGGGACCGUAAGGCCUCGCGCGAUUGGAGCGGCCGAUGUCAGAUUAGGUAGUUGGUGGGGUAAAGGCUCACCAAGCCAACGAUCUGUAGCUGGUCUGAGAGGACGACCAGCCACACUGGGACUGAGACACGGCCCAGACUCCUACGGGAGGCAGCAGUGGGGAAUUUUGGACAAUGGGGGCAACCCUGAUCCAGCAAUGCCGCGUGCAGGAAGAAGGCCUUCGGGUUGUAAACUGCUUUUGUACGGAACGAAACGGUCUGGGUUAAUACCCUGGGCUAAUGACGGUACCGUAAGAAUAAGCACCGGCUAACUACGUGCCAGCCGCCGCAGUAAAAC
rnacentral:rRNA from 1 species